GAAUGGACACACUUUAGGAAGUAAAUCUAAGCAAAGAGAUGUAUUUAAUCCACUUAUACUAAAAACAUGUGCAUUUAACAUAAAAACAUCUCUAUAUUUAGUAUUUUGAUCGCCGACAAGGUUUAUUUGAGCUACGGUCAGCGCCAUUUUAAAUUGCCAGAGUAACGACUGAUGCCAGUGCUCACUGGCAGGCAUCAGCAAAUUGUCUGUGGUAUUGAGUUUUUGUGCUGAGAGUGAAUGAAGAGAGUGAGGUUAGGGGCGGACAACGAAGAUGGCAACAGGAAGUUGUAAUUCAAACAUGCAUUGUAUAGCGCCAGGCUGUAUGAAUUGGCCCCCAAAAAUCCCUCUGUAAACUACCAUCGGCUUCCCAUGGACCUACAACUUUAGAAGUGGCUCCAUGUCCUGAAAAUUAAGGACAUGCCAGCUUGACCUAGCAGGAUCUGCAGACAGCACUUUGCGGAGGCAGAAUUCGCAAUGAAGGUCACUUUCGAUGAGGAAACUGGGAGUUUCCGAAUGGAAAGGAGUCAUAGGCCUACGUUGAAGCCCUCUGCUUGCGCCUCCAUUUGAAAUUGAGGGUUAUGGUGUAGGGGUUACCAACCGACCAUCAUGAACAUCACGGAUUUUUGGAGUCAAGCGAAAGCAACUGAAUGGAGGAGGCGACGAUGACAUCUUCAUCCCUGAAAAUGUUUUCAUCCUGGAGGAGACUGUGCAGAAGGCAGAGGAAAGAACAGUUAGUACAGCAUGCCAAACUGACUCCUGGGUGCCAGUGUUCCCGUGCUGCGGUGGAGAAGAGGUCCACCGGGACCAUCACUAAAGAGCUCAGGGCCCAGCUAGAUUGCUCUCACAACCAUCAGUAUACAACCGGGUCCUGCCCCUAUACGCCACAGAUGGAGCUGAAUGAGAGUGAGAUCUGUGAAGACCAUAACUCGCUGUAUGAACCUGAGAGCUCAGAAUCACAAUCAUCACAGUCCGAGCCAAGAUAUACUAUCAAUCACUUUGGGGGAGCGGGUGGUUGUUGCGAAAAUGGAGAAAGAGCAGGCCAUUCAACAGCGAAUUCAAAGAUACACCCAUCCAUAAAGGGAAUCGGAGUGGAAUUGUUUUAACACAGUUUUUUUUUUUACCCGUUUCAAUGGAUGUGCUACCUUGUCCCAGUUCUGCUGUUUCAACUCUCUCUCUCUCAACCUAUGAAUGCCCAGCUACAAAAAGACAACUGACAUUUGCUCCUGAGGUGUUGAACUGUUGCACCCUCUAUAACCACAGUGGUUAUUAUUUUGAUGUAAAAAGGGAUUUUGUAAGUGGUAAUCAGCAGUAGAAACAAUAAAGUGUCUCCCUGCUCCUCUUUCAGUAAAAAGCUGAGGGAUGGGGCUGGAGAAAUGUAACCACUCUCAAAUUCAUAGACCGAGCGAUAGAUGCAAGGACUGACCAUCCAUGAAAUCAAAAUUGUAAUCAUGUUUCUAUGAUCUGUUUCCAUGACCAUGUAACCAGUUCGCUUUGGAUAAAGGCGUCUGCUAAAUGGCAUAUAUUAUUAAAGUCUACUUUGACUCUGCCAACUAGCUGCCCAGUGGUUACCAUUCCUUUCCAAUAGAUGGCAGCCAAAGCUAGUUCAAGUCACUACUCUAGCACAGGGACAUGGGAUUAAUGCUCACUGAAAGUAGUUUUAUUUUUUAUUGAACCUUUAUUUAACUAGGCAAGUCAUUUACAGUGACGGCUUACACCGGCCAAACCUGGACGGUGAGAUUUACCGGUUACUCUGCGCAAACCUCCACCCUCCAAAAAACCCAACAUGAACUCUGACAUUGUGGCUACCUUCUCCUUACUCAUCAUCUCCAGGUCUGACGCCAUUGAGAAAAUGGUAGGCGCGAACACCAUGGUUAUCGAAGGCUUGAAAAAGACUGGAGUUUGCAUGUGGUGAAAUCAAGGACGUGAAAAGGAGUGGCAGAAGUUGAAAAAAUAAGUUGUGGAAAAGAAUAACAAUAUCUACCAUAGACGUCUCACUGAUCUGGAACAAUACACAAGAGCCUGAGACUCUACGGCGUGCCAGAGACGGAGAAUGGGGAUGUGCGACGAGAGGCUAUCCGCAUCUGCCAAGAAGUUAUGCCUGCAGAGACUAACAAAGUUGGUGAUACCAUUAAUGUUGCGCAUCGCCUCAGCAAGAAGCAACAGCAAAACGAUUCAAGACCAAGCGGUAUCAUCAUCUUCACUGCCAGAUUCUACAGGGAUGCUGUCUGGAAAGCUGCUAGGAAGAACACCUUCCUUCAGAGCCAUGGUCUGCGUGUGGCAGGGCUGAAAUGCAGUGGAAAUGUUUUUGGGGGAUUCAGUUCAUUUGCAUGGCAAAGAGGGACUUUGCAAUUAAUUGCAAUUCAUCUGAUCA